GUCUCCUGCUGUUGGAGAAAAGGAAGAAGAAGCCACUCAGAUUAAUGAGCCUCCCAAUGGAAGGCUUUUAUACGCUUUCAGAAGUCAGCCCCGGGAACUGAUGACAACAGAUUAACUUGAUGACCAGAAUCUUUCACAACCAGAACCUGCUCCACUGACACCUCCGUACACCUGGACUUCAGUCAAGAUUAGAUAUUCUCCACCCUUGCCAUAAUGAUACGGUAUGUGGAUAGCAAUUCUCUACAUCCCAGACAUGGAAAUUGGGUGGCCAUCACGGAGACAGAGAUGGGGAACGGGUAGAUAACAAGAGUGAGACCUGCCCAAAGCCACACAAAAUAUCUGCAGCAAACCUGGGAAGAAAACUGCAAUCUUGCAGGGCUCAGACCUGUUCCUGAACCACAAAAAGAUUCAUCUCCUCAAGCCAAAUCCCCUACUUUCUAUAUUUAGUCCAUGAGGAUCGUGGGAAGAAUGAA